GGCGUUCCAAUGCGCUCUGCUGACCCGCCCGCCACCCACCCGCUAGGGGAGCCCCAGCAGCUCCAGGUCCGCUUCCUUCGUGCUGAGGGAUACCCGGUGGACCUGUACUACCUUAUGGACCUGAGCUACUCCAUGAAGGACGACCUGGAACGCGUGCGCCAGCUCGGGCACGCUCUGCUGGUCCGGCUGCAGGAAGUCACCCAUUCUGUGCGCAUUGGUUUUGGUUCCUUUGUGGACAAAACAGUGCUGCCCUUUGUGAGCACAGUACCCUCCAAGCUGCGCCACCCCUGCCCCACCCGGCUGGAGCGCUGCCAGUCACCCUUCAGCUUUCACCAUGUGCUGUCCCUGACGGGGGACGCACAAGCCUUCGAGCGGGAGGUGGGGCGCCAGAGUGUGUCCGGCAAUCUGGACUCGCCUGAAGGUGGCUUCGAUGCCAUUCUGCAGGCUGCACUCUGCCAGGAGCAGAUUGGCUGGAGAAAUGUGUCCCGGCUGCUGGUGUUCACUUCAGAUGACACAUUCCAUACAGCUGGGGACGGGAAGUUGGGCGGCAUUUUCAUG
rnacentral:sRNA from 1 species